rnacentral:rRNA from 1 species
GUAGCCGACCUGAGAGGGUGAUCGGCCACAUUGGGACUGAGACACGGCCCAAACUCCUACGGGAGGCAGCAGUGGGGAAUAUUGGGCAAUGGAGGAAACUCUGACCCAGCAACGCCGCGUGGAGGAAGAAGGUUUUCGGAUCGUAAACUCCUGUCCUUGGAGACGAGUAGAAGACGGUAUCCAAGGAGGAAGCCCCGGCUAACUACGUGCCAGCAGCCGCGGUAAUACGUAGGGGGCAAGCGUUGUCCGGAAUAAUUGGGCGUAAAGGGCGCGUAGGCGGCUCGGUAAGUCUGGAGUGAAAGUCCUGCUUUUAAGGUGGGAAUUGCUUUGGAUACUGUCGGGCUUGAGUGCAGGAGAGGUUAGUGGAAUUCCCAGUGUAGCGGUGAAAUGCGUAGAGAUUGGGAGGAACACCAGUGGCGAAGGCGACUAACUGGACUGUAACUGACGCUGAGGCGCGAAAGUGUGGGGAGCAAACAGGAUUAGAUACCCUGGUAGUCCACACUGUAAACGAUGAAUGCUAGGUGUAGGGGGUAUCGACCCCUUCUGUGCCGCAGUCAACACAAUAAGCAUUCCGCCUGGGGAGUACGGCCGCAAGGUUGAAACUCAAAGGAAUUGACGGGGGCCCGCACAAGCAGCGGAGCAUGUGGUUUAAUUCGAAGCAACGCGAAGAACCUUACCAAGGCUUGACAUCCACUUAAACUCAUGGAAACAUGAGGUGUCUUCGGACGAAGUGAGACAGGUGGUGCAUGGUUGUCGUCAGCUCGUGUCGUGAGAUGUUGGGUUAAGU